rnacentral:misc_RNA from 1 species
AAGUAUUCUUCAGGCAGCCAGCGCUUCUACAGCGCGGCAGCCUAAACCUUACACACUGUGAUUAGUUUUCUUACUAUUGCUUUGGUUGAUUUUUUUUAAUCGGCCAGAGGUUUUCAAAACACAAAGAUUUCAAUCUUUUUAUUAUAAAAUUCAGUCAAUGAAGUAUUAAAAUACUAUAAUCUUCA